rnacentral:lncRNA from 1 species
AUUAGCAAACAUCGCUCUGCUCUCUUGGAGGUUGUGUUUGUUACCAAAAAUCUUCUGAAUUAUCAUUUCCUACUGGAAAAACAGCUUAAGCUUUCAGUGAAGUAUAUGGUGAUAGAUUUGGAGUCUGACUUUUGGGGCUAUGUCUACUUAGGUGUCUUGGACAAGCAGGAUAAUUAUGGACCUGGCUUCUGAAGUCAUACUUCGUGGAUCUGAGUUGGUUCUGUCAUUGGGUAUGUAAGAGAAAUCACCUUUGUGUGUGUGUGUGUGUGUUUUUUUUUAUGUUGAAGUAGAAUAAAAUGCUGUAAAAGGAAUAAGAAAGUUAAUCCUGGUGAGUCCCCAAAAUAGCACCUACACAGAACAGCCAUUCAGGGAAAUACCAAAUGCUAUAACAUUCUCUAGAUGCAAAGUUUAUUUUGGUGGCUUGUUCCCUGGCGGUAAUGAUCUUAGGAAUCUCAUGUUUCAUCUGAAAAGAACUUUGGUAAUAUCAAUAUGAAACUGAGAUACAGAGAGUGAAUUUCUACAAGGCUGUGAAGAUACAUAGUGGUAGAUUCAAGGCCAAAAGUCAAGACUUCUAGUUCUAAGUCACUAUAUACUGUACCACAAUUCUCCAAGAGGGAGCACUUCUAAGUCCAAGAUGUGCUUAGAAAGAAUGGCAAAUAGAACUGAUUGCCCCUUAUAAAGGCUCCCUUGUCACUAUAAUCUAAUGCUGAUUCAUUUGCUCAGUAAUUAUUUAGUUCAUUCAUCUAGCAACAGCACAGAUACAGGCUACACUCAGAAAGUGAAGUUUUAAAAAGAAAUCAAUUGCAAUCAGAGAAAACAUAUGCAGGGAUAAAAUUAUGCAACAGAACAAUCAUACUGUAUGCAUAGUGAUAGAGAGGUUAGGCAGUAGCUACACAGCCCGUUAAUCCCUAGAAACAGAUUAAGGUAGAGGUAGUAAAUUUAUAAAUGGGUAAAAUGAAUGAAGCCAAGUAAGGGAAAAGAUGUGUGGGACAUGUUAGAGGAAAAAAAAUCCUCUGGACGGAUCAGUAAAAUCUUCAGCGAGUACAUAGCAUUAGAUGUGUCCCUAGACAUAUGAAUAAGUAAAAGAAAUAAAACAUUGGGUACUUUCUCUAGCUCCUCCAUUGGGGGCCCUGUGCUUCAUCCAACAAAUGACUGUGAGCAUCCACUUCUGUAUUUGCCAGGCACUGGCAUAGCCUCACAAGAGACAGCUAUAUCAGGGUCCUUUCAGCAGAAUCUUGCUGGCAUAUGCAAUAGUGUCUGCAUUUGGUGGCUGAUUAUGGGAUGGACUUCCAGGUGGGGCAGUCUCUGGAUAGUCCAUCCUUUCAUCUCAGCUCCAAACUUUUUCUCUGUAACUCCUUCCAUGAGUGUUUUGUUCCCAAUUCUAAGGAGGAAUGAAGUAUCCAUGCAUUGGUCUUCCUUCUUGAUUUUCUUGUGUUUUGCAAAUUGUAUCUUGGGUAUUCUAUGUUUCUGGGCUAAUGUCCACUUAUCAGUGAGUGCAUAUCAAAUGAGUUCUUUUGUGAUUGGGUUACCUCACUCAGGAUGAUAUCUUCCAGAUCCAUCCAUUUGCCUAAGAAUUUCAUGAAUUCAUUGUUUUUAAUAGCUGAGUAGUACUCCAUUGUGUAAAUGUACCACAUUUUCUGUAUCCAUUCCUCUGUUGAGGGACAUCUAGGUUCUUUCCAGCUUCUGGCUAUUAUAAUUAAGGCUGCUAUGAACAUAGUGGAGCAUGUGCCCUUAUUACCAGUUGGAACAUCUUCUGGGUAUAUGCCCAGGAGAGGUAUUGCUGGAUCUUCCAGUAGUACUAUGUCCAAUUUUCUGAGGAACCGCCAGACUGAUUUCCAGAGUGGUUGUACAAGCUGGGUCUGCAACUUUAUAGGUGCAACAGCAAUAUGAACUAACCAGUAGCCCCAGAGCUCGUGUCUCUAGCUGCAUAUGUAGCAGAAGAUGGCCUAGUCAUCCAUCAUUGGGAAGAGAGGCCCCUUGGUCUUGCAAACUUUAUAUGCUCUAAUACAGGGGAACACCAGGGCCAAGAAGCAGAAUUGGGUGGGUAGGGGAGCAGAGUUGGGGGAGGGUAUAGGGGACUUUUGGGAUAGCAUUUGGAAUGUAAAUGAAGAAAAUAUCUAAUAAAAAAUUGACAAAAAA